AGUGAACGCUGGCGGCGUGCCUAAUACAUGCAAGUCGAACGGAGUGGCGCACGGGUGAGUAAUAUAUAGCUAAUCUGCCCCUUGCUGGCGGACAACAGUUAGAAAUGACUGCUAAUACUCCAUAGCAAGGGAUGAGACUAUAUCGUAUCAGCUAGUCGGUGGGGUAACGGCCUACCGAGGCCAUGACGCGUAACUGGUCUGAGAGGCUGAUCAAUUACAUUUGAACUGAGAAACCGUCCAAACUCCUACUGCAGUCAGCAUGAGGGAAUAUUGCGCAAUGGGGGAAACCCUGACGCAGCUACUCCGCGUGGAGGAUGACACUUGUCGGAGCGUAAACUCCUUUUGUUAGGGAAGCGGUACCUAACGAAUAAGCACCGGCUAACUCCGUGCCAGCAGCCGCGGUAAUUC
rnacentral:rRNA from 1 species